rnacentral:misc_RNA from 1 species
UCGGAUCGUUUUAGAAACAUCAGUGGCCAACAGAUCGCCAGAUCGUUGAGCUGCAUUGGCGGGAUUUCGCCGUCUUCGUUUCUCUUUCUUCGCGGACGAACACGCGCUGGGCCUGCAACGGCAGGAUCCAGGGUCCUUAACGGGAUGUGCGUUAGGGGCUUGUAGCUCAGUUGGUUAGAGCGCGCGCUUGAUAAGCGUGAGGUCGGAAGUUCAAGUCUUCCCAGGCCCACCACUUUCAUCGAGUGAGCAUUCGUCUUCUGGUUACGGGGCCAUAGCUCAGCUGGGAGAGCGCGUGCUUUGCAAGCAUGAGGUCGUCGGUUCGAUCCCGUCUGGCUCCACCAGAUGGUUUGAUCACCGAGAUCUUGACCGUCGUCCGCGAAACAUCACUUCGCAUCCUGCUAGUCUGGAUAGACAGCAGUUUGCGUGUUUUCUGACAUCGUAAAGAGGAGAUCGAUCCGAGUUGGGUCGUGCAGCAUAUCGUUGCGCGAGCCUUCAUUAUCUCCGGAUCAUUUCGGCGCUCGCUUCCAGCCGUGAGGUUGGAUGCGGGUUGUAAAUGAUCCUUUUAGCGAAGCUUGACCGCCUCGCUAUCGGAACGAUCUUACGAAGCAAGCUGGUCUUUCUAGUCAAUGUCCGGCUGCGGAUAGCGUUCAUCGAGGGCGCGUGCCGCAAGGCAAUUCUGCAGACAACAUUCUGCCGAGUGUGUGGACAUUGAUAAUGAGAGCAAUCAAGUGCCUUAAGGGUGUUCGGUGGAUGCCUUGGCGCUGAGAGGCGAUGAAGGACGUGCUACGCUGCGAUAAGCCGUGGGGAGCUGCGAAGAAGCUUUGAUCCGCGGAUUUCCGAAUGGGGA